ACGUGUGAACAGGUUACACGUGAUGCAGUGUGGUAGUGGAAUAUGCUGCAUCACGUUUGAUCUCCCUACACUGC
rfam:Ornithorhynchus anatinus chromosome X1, whole genome shotgun sequence.